rnacentral:lncRNA from 1 species
GGUAUUUUAUGUUUAAUGCCUAAUUUCUAGGAAGUGCCAGAUAAAAUAUAUAUUAACUAUUUUGAUUUGAUGUACAAUGAUUUAUAUUCUCAUUUUGAAAAGACACCAUGAAGCACAUAAGCUGUACCAGUAGUUGUUAUCUUUUUUCUAACCAAGUGUUUAAAACAUGGAAGGUUUUUAAAGACAUCACUUUUCAAAUGGUACUUGGAGCUCUUGGUCAAAAAUCAGCUGACUCAUUGGAGAAAUAAGUGGAAUAAACAUAACUGAUCAUUUUCAAUGUUUUGUGGUGGGCAAUAGUGAAAUAUUUGAAAUGGUAAAAAUGGAAAGAGGAACAAGAUAUGACCAGGGAUGACUGACGAUUAACCUUAUGAAAGUAUUAU